UACGAAUGGAGCGAGCGUUGUUCGGAAUCACUGGGCGUAAAGGGUGCGCAGGCGGUCUUGAAAGUUAGAAGUGAAAGCCCCGGGCUUAACCCGGGAAUUGCUUUUAAAACUCCAAGACUAGAGUACUGGAGAGGUUAGCGGAAUUCCAAGUGUAGCAGUGAAAUGCGUAGAUAUUUGGAGGAACACCAAUGGCGUAGGCAGCUAACUGGACAGUAACUGACGCUCAUGCACGAAAGCGUGGGGAUCAAAC
rnacentral:rRNA from 1 species